rnacentral:rRNA from 2 species
CAAGGCAAUGAUACGUAGCCGACCUGAGAGGGUAAUCGGCCACAUUGGGACUGAGACACGGCCCAAACUCCUACGGGAGGCAGCAGUAGGGAAUCUUCCACAAUGGACGAAAGUCUGAUGGAGCAACGCCGCGUGAGUGAUGAAGGGUUUCGGCUCGUAAAACUCUGUUGUUGGAGAAGAACAGGUGUCAGAGUAACUGUUGACAUCUUGACGGUAUCCAACCAGAAAGCCACGGCUAACUACGUGCCAGCAGCCGCGGUAAUACGUAGGUGGCAAGCGUUGUCCGGAUUUAUUGGGCGUAAAGCGAGCGCAGGCGGUUUCUUAGGUCUGAUGUGAAAGCCUUCGGCUUAACCGGAGAAGUGCAUCGGAAACCAGGAGACUUGAGUGCAGAAGAGGACAGUGGAACUCCAUGUGUAGCGGUGAAAUGCGUAGAUAUAUGGAAGAACACCAGUGGCGAAGGCGGCUGUCUGGUCUGUAACUGACGCUGAGGCUCGAAAGCAUGGGUAGCGAACAGGAUUAGAUACCCUGGUAGUCCAUGCCGUAAACGAUGAGUGCUAAGUGUUGGAGGGUUUCCGCCCUUCAGUGCUGCAGCUAACGCAUUAAGCACUCCGCCUGGGGAGUACGACCGCAAGGUUGAAACUCAAAGGAAUUGACGGGGGCCCGCACAAGCGGUGGAGCAUGUGGUUUAAUUCGAUGCUACGCGAAGAACCUUACCAGGUCUUGACAUCUUCUGCCAACCUAAGAGAUUAGGCGUUCCCUUCGGGGACAGAAUGACAGGUGGUGCAUGGUUGUCGUCAGCUCGUGUCGUGAGAUGUUGGGUUAAGUCCCGCAACGAGCGCAACCCUUAUUGUUAGUUGCCAGCAUUUAGUUGGGCACUCUAGCAAGACUGCCGGUGACAAACCGGAGGAAGGUGGGGAUGACGUCAAAUCAUCAUGCCCCUUAUGACCUGGGCUACACACGUGCUACAAUGGACGGUACAACGAGUCGCGAAACCGCGAGGUCAAGCUAAUCUCUUAAAGCCGUUCUCAGUUCGGAUUGUAGGCUGCAACUCGCCUACAUGAAGUUGGAAUCGCUAGUAAUCGUGGAUCAGCAUGCCACGGUGAAUACGUUCCCGGG